UGGGGAAUCUUCCGCAAUGGGCGAAAGCCUGACGGAGCAAUGCCGCGUGGAGGUAGAAGGCCCACGGGUCGUAAACUCCUUUUCUCGGAGAAGAAGCAGUGACGGUAUCCGAAGAAUAAGCAUCGGCUAACUCUGUGCCAGCAGCCGCGGUAAGACAGGGGAUGCAAGCGUUAUCCGGAAUGAUUGGGCGUAAAGCGUCUGUAGGUGGCUCCUUAAGUCCGCUGUCAAAUCCCAGGGCUCAACCCUGGACAGGCGGUGGAAACUACUAAGCUGGAGUACGGAAGGGGCAGGGGGAAUUUCCGGUGGAGCGGUGAAAUGCGUAGAGAUCGGAAAGAACACCAAAGGCGAAGGCACCCUGCUGGGCCGACACUGACACUGAGAGACGAAAGCUAGGGGAGCGAAUGGG
rnacentral:rRNA from 1 species